GACGAACGCUGGCGGCGUGCUUAACACAUGCAAGUCGAGCGGUAAGGCCCUUUCGGGGGUACGACGAGCGGCGAACGGGUGAGUAACACGUGGGUGACCUGCCCUCAGCUCUGGGAUAAGCCUGGGAAACUGGGUCUAAUACCGGAUAUGACUCCAUGACGCAUGUUGUGGGGUGGAAAGCCUUGUGCGGCUGGGGAGUGGGCCCGCGGCCUAUCAGCUUGUUGGUGGGGUGAGGCCUACCAAGGCGACGACGGGUAGCCGGCCUGAGAGGGCGACCGGCCACACUGGGACUGAGACACGGCCCAGACUCCUACGGGAGGCAGCAGUGGGGAAUCUUGCGCAAUGGGCGAAAGCCUGACGCAGCGACGCCGCGUGAGGGAUGACGGCCU
rnacentral:rRNA from 1 species